ensembl:snoRNA SNORD30 Small nucleolar RNA SNORD30
CUACAGGGUGACUUACGUGGGAUCUCGUUCGGCUGAUGGCUUGCCUCUGAGACUGGCAAAUCUUUCUUUC